CAAAUACUCCCUCCGUCCGGGAAUACUUGUCAUCAAAAUGGAUAAAAGGAAAUGUAUCUAGACAUAUUUUAGUUUUAGAUACAUCUCUUUUAUCCAUUUUGAUGACAAGUAUUUUCGGACGGAGGGAGUAGAAA
rnacentral:pre_miRNA from 1 species